rnacentral:rRNA from 1 species
CACACUGUCCUACGGGUGGCAGCAGUGGGGAAUAUUGCACAAUGGGGGAAACCCUGAUGCAGCAACGCCGCGUGAGUGAAGAAGGUUUUCGGAUUGUAAAGCUCUGUUAGCAGGGAAGAGGAAGGACGGUACCUGCAGAGGAAGCCACGGCUAACUACGUGCCAGCAGCCGCGGUAAUACGUAGGUGGCAAGCGUUGUUCGGAAUAACUGGGCGUAAAGGAUGCGUAGGCGGUUGAGUAAGUUAUGUGUUAAAUAUAUAGGCUUAACCUGUAGAAAGCACAUAAAACUGUUUAACUAGAGUGCAGGAGAGGUAAGUGGAAUUCCUAGUGUAGCGGUGAAAUGCGUAGAGAUUAGGAAGAACACCAGUGGCGAAGGCG